AACGAACGCUGGCGGCAUGCCUAACACAUGCAAGUCGAACGAGACCGUCGGGUCUAGUGGCGCACGGGUGCGUAACGCGUGGGAACCUGCCCUUAGGUUCGGAAUAACUCCCCGAAAGGGGUGCUAAGACCGGAUAAUGUCUUCGGACCAAAGAUUUAUCGCCUUUGGGUGGGCCCGCGUUGGAUUAGCUAGUUGGUAGGGUAAAAGCAUACCAAGGCGACGAUCCAUAGCUGGUCGGAGAGGAUGAUCAGCCACACUGGGACUGAGACACGGCCCAGAAUCCUACGGGACGGAGCAGUGGGGAAUAUUGGAGAAUGGGCGAAAGCCUGAUCCAGCAAUGCCGCGUGAGUGAUGAAGGCCUUAGGGUUGUAAAGCUCUUUUACCCGGGAUGAUAAUGACAGUACCGGGAGAAUAAGCUCCGGCUAACUACGUG
rnacentral:rRNA from 1 species